AUUGAACGCUGGCGGCAUGCCUUACACAUGCAAGUCGAACGGUAACGGGCCUUCGGGUGCCGACGAGUGGCGAACGGGUGAGUAAUGUAUCGGAACGUACCUUUCAGUGGGGAUAACGUAGCGAAAGUUACGCUAAUACCGCAUAUUCUGUGAGCAGGAAAGCAGGGGAUCGCAAGACCUUGCGCUGAUUGAGCGGCCGAUAUCAGAUUAGCUAGUUGGUGAGGUAAAGGCUCACCAAGGCGACGAUCUGUAGCGGGUCUGAGAGGAUGAUCCGCCACACUGGAACUGAGACACGGUCCAGACUCCUACGGGAGGCAGCAGUGGGAAUUUUGGACAAUGGGGGCAACCCUGAUCCAGCCAUGCCGCGUGAGUGAAGAAGGCCUUCGGUU
rnacentral:rRNA from 1 species